rnacentral:tmRNA from 1 species
GGGGCUGAAUGGUUUCGACAGCAAGUCGAAGCGGAAUGUAAGCAUGCCGGGCCAUGGAGAUGUCGCCCGUUAUCAAAGAUGCUUCAAACAACAGUUGGCGAAGACAAUAACUUCGCGCUUGCCGCGUAACCACUCGAUAGAGGGUUACUGCUAAUCCACGCGUAAGACGCGGGAGCAAGCCAUCCCGCGGUUCCUAAGUCCGGAGGGAACCGGUUCCGGGGUGUCAUAAAAUCUGGACUAGAGAUUUUGUGGUUGCGCAGGAAUCUCGAAAUGACAAGCCGCAGCUAAGCCAUAGGUAGGGUGUUUGUUCCCGGCCUAUGGUCGAAAACCUAAUAACAAACUAAGCAUGUAGAAAGCCUUCGGCUUCCUUGUUUGCACGUGGGUUCGAAUCCCACCAGCUCCACA